rnacentral:tRNA from 1 species
UGCGGGAUAGUGUAUAGGCUGCACGGUGGACUUUGACUCCGCAAGAGAAGGUUCGAAUCCUUCUUCCGCAA